rnacentral:rRNA from 1 species
GACGAACGCUGGCGGCGUGCUUAACACAUGCAAGUCGAACGGAAAGGCCCUGCUUUUGUGGGGUGCUCGAGUGGCGAACGGGUGAGUAACACGUGAGUAACCUGCCCUUGACUUUGGGAUAACUUCAGGAAAAUGGGGCUAAUACCGGAUAGGAGCUCCUGCUGCAUGGGGGGGGUUGGAAAGAUUCGGCGGUUGGGGAUGGACUCGCGGCUUAUCAGCUUGUUGGUGGGGUAGUGGCUUACCAGGGCUUUGACGGGUAGCCGGCCUGGGAGGGUGACCGGCCACAUUGGGACUAAGAUACGGCCCAGACUCCUACGGGAGGCAGCAGUGGGGAAUAUUGCACAAUGGGCGGAAGCCUGAUGCAGCAACGCCGCGUGCGGGAUGACGGCCUUCGGGUUGUAAACCGCUUUCGCCUGUGACGAAGCGUGAGUGACGGUAAUGGGUAAAGAAGCACCGGCUAACUACGUG